UUACAUUUUAUAAUUAACAAUAUUUUAGUGGUUUAAAAUCUACUAACAAAGAGAAUAUAUUUUAUAAAUUAAUAAAAUAUAAUAUAAUAAAUAAUUUAAUAAUUAAUAUAUAUAUAUAUAUAUGUAUGUAUAUAUAAUAAUAUAAAUCUAUCCUCUACUUCAUAAGAGGAUAUGUAGGCUUAGAAUCAGUCUUCAUUUAAUUUCGUAAUUGUUUAUAUUUAUUUAAUAAAAAUUUAAUUCAAUUUAAUUUUUUAUUAGGUUUUAAAUUUUAAUUUAUAAAAUUUAAUAAUAAUGAUUUAAUUAGUAUAAUGAAUAUAAAUUUUAUAGUAAUUCGGCAAAAAUUAUUUUUCACCUGUUUAUCAAAAACAUGGUUUUUAGUAUUUAUUUUAAAGAUCUAAUCUGCCCAAUGAAUAAUUUUAAUGGCCGCGGUAAUUUGACCGUGCAAAGGUAGCAUAAUAAUUAGUCUUUUAAUUGGAGUCUAGAAUGAAUGAUUGAAUGAAAAAAUAACUUUCUUUAUAAUUAAAUUAUAAUUUAAUUUUUAAGUGAAAAAGCUUAAAUUUUUCUGUGGGACGAUAAGACCCUAUAGAACUUUAAAUUUAUUAAAAUUACAUAUCUUUUGGUUAAAAAUAUUUAUGUAAUUAAAAUAAUUUUUUUAUUGGGGUGAUAGAAUAAUUAAUUAAACUUUUUCUUAUUUUUUCAUAAAUUUAUGUUAUUUUGAUCCAAUAAUAUUGAUUGAAAGACUAAGUUACCUUAGGGAUAACAGCGUAAUUUUGUUGGAGAGUUCAUAUUAAUAACAAAGUUUGCGACCUCGAUGUUGGAUUAAGAAAAAAUAAAGGGGUAGAUUUUUUUAUUUUAGGUCUGUUCGACCUUUAAAUUCUUACAUGAUCUGAGUUCAGACCGGCGUAAGCCAGGUUGGUUUCUAUCUUUAGACUAAAUAAUUAUUUUAGUACGAAAGGACCAAAUAAUA
rnacentral:rRNA from 1 species